rnacentral:rRNA from 1 species
UACGUAGGGGGCAAGCGUUGUCCGGAUUUAUUGGGCGUAAAGAGCGUGUAGGCGGCCAUACAGGUCAGCUGUGAAAACUCGAGGCUCAACCUCGAGACGUCGGUUGAAACCGUAUGGCUAGAGUCCGGAAGAGGAGAGUGGAAUUCCCGGUGUAGCGGUGAAAUGCGCAGAUAUCGGGAAGAACACCAAUUGCGAAGGCAGCUCGCUGGGACGUUACUGACGCUGAGACGCGAAAGCGUGGGGAGCAAACAGG